CUACGGGGGGCAGCAGUGAGGAAUAUUGCACAAUGGGGGGAACCCUGAUGCAGCAACGCCGCGUGGAGGAUGACGCAUUUCGGUGUGUAAACUCCUUUUAUAUGUCAAGAAAAUGACGGUAGCAUAUGAAUAAGCACCGGCUAACUCCGUGCACAGCAGCCGCGGUAAUACGGAGGGUGCAAGCGUUACUCGGAAUCACUGGGCGUAAAGGACGCGUAGGCGGGUUGGAAAGUCAGGUGUGAAAUCCUACAGCUUAACUGUAGAACUGCACUUGAAACUUCUAAUCUAGAGUAUGGGAGGGGGAGAUGGAAUUAGUGGUGUAGGGGUAAAAUCCGUAGAUAUCACUAGGAAUACCUAAAGCGAAGGCGAUCUCCUGGAACAUUACCGACGCUAAGGCGUGAAAGCGUGGGGAGCAAACAGGAUUAGAUACCCCUGUAGUC
rnacentral:rRNA from 1 species